rnacentral:rRNA from 1 species
GAUGAACGCUGGCGGCGUGCCUAAUACAUGCAAGUCGAGCGAACAGAUGAGGAGCUUGCUCCUCUGACGUUAGCGGCGGACGGGUGAGUAACACGUGGAUAACCUACCUAUAAGACUGGGAUAACUUCGGGAAACCGGAGCUAAUACCGGAUAAUAUAUUGAACCGCAUUGUUCAAUAGUGAAAGACGGUUUUGCUGUCACUUAUAGAUGGAUCCGCGCCGCAUUGGCUAGUUGGUAAGGUAACGGCUUACCAAGGCAACGAUGCGUAGCCGACCUGAUAGGGUGAUCGGCCACCCUGGAACUGAGACACGGUCCAGACUCCUACGGGAGGCAGCAGUAGGGAAUCUUCCGCAAUGGGCGAAAGCUUGACGGAGCAACGCCGCGUGAGUGAUGACGGUCUUCGGAUCGUAAAACUCUGUUAUUAGGGAAGAACAAAUGUGUAAGUAACUAUGCACGUAUUGACGGUAACUAAUCAGAAAGCCACGGCUAACUACGUG